rnacentral:rRNA from 1 species
ACUCCUACGGGAGGCAGCAGUGGGGAAUAUUGCACAAUGGGCGAAAGCCUGAUGCAGCGACGCCGCGUGGGGGAUGACGGCCUUCGGGUUGUAAACCUCUUUCAGCAGGGACGAAGCGAAAGUGACGGUACCUGCAGAAGAAGCACCGGCCAACUACGUGCCAGCAGCCGCGGUAAU